rnacentral:tRNA from 1 species
GUGGGCAUAGUUUAAAACAAAACGUUGGAUUGUGAUUCCAAAGUUAGGGGUUCAAAUCCUCUUGCCUACC